rnacentral:snoRNA from 1 species
GCAUAGGCUUGGUUUUAUGGCAGGUCCGUCUCUGGAUUGCACAGUGUUCUAUGCCAGAGCAGACUAGCUGCAGAUCAUUAGCUGGCCUCUGCACCUGUAGGCUACUGGCCCUGAGGCGGCACCAUUCAG